UAAGCUAGGUCUAGUAUAUUUGGAAAUGGAAAGCUUAUAAAAUAUGCAUCUAGCUUAUAGCUUGAAAUAUAGCUUAUUUUAAAAUUCAUCUAGCAUAUUCUAGUUUUAAAUGUUUUUGCGACAUAAACAGUUUGUUUUGUAAGAAGAAUAUGUUACGGACUGUUUGGGGCCUCCUGGCGCCGCGCCGGCUGGUUCAUCGGUACUCAGGUGGAGUUCCAUCCCUGGCCCGCAGUCCGCACAAUCGAUAACUCCACCGAUACAAAACAGCUGCUUAAAAACAGAAGAAACGCAUCACUAACAAAACAAACAGCUGCCGCGCGAUUGAAAAUUGCGCUAAACAAAAGGAAAUGCAAAAAUAAACUUUUGACUUCGGGCCCAGUUGGACCCCGGCGUACCCACCCUGCCUGAGAUGGCUACAUUGGCGCCAUCUCCCUUGCGUUGGCCACUAUAUCAGUGGCUGCUCCUCAUCCGGCGUAGCGCUGUAGAAUUUCCCUCCCCUCCAUGAUGAGAAACUCACUCAACCAUGUUCAACAUAACAUACACAUAUUUGGACUUCAAAAUGGCAAAGGAACAAGAUUCAUAAAUCACGUAGUAGGACGAACGAAACAACAAAUAGCCACAACGGCGUAAAGGACAAAUUCUUUUACAUGUAACGCAUUCGGGCGUUUAGAAUUAACGAUCGAGCAAUCCGCUACCACGGAUAAUGGCGACUGGAACGAGAAUGGGCCUGGCACUGACUCACCAGUCGGGAUCCUCCUCCUGCCUCAGCGUUGCACAGUGGUUCCGCCAGAGGCCAAAAAUCAAAAAACCGAUCAGAAAAUAUUUAAACUCAAUUUACACAGUUAGUCUCUAAAAUGUCCAAAUUUUCA